GAUGAACGCUAGCGGCAGGCCUAAUACAUGCAAGCUGAACGGUAAAUAUUGUAGCAAUACGAUAUGAGAGUAGCGUAAGGGUGCGUAACACGUAUGCAAUCUGCCCCGUACAGGAGGAUAGCUCGGCGAAAGCCGGAUUAAUACUCCGUAAUAUUAUUGGAAGGCAUCUUUUGAUAAUUAAAGUCGCAAGACGGUACGGGAUGAGCAUGCGUCUGAUUAGCUAGUUGGUAGUGUAACGGACUACCAAGGCGAUGAUCAGUAGGGGAACUGCGAGGUUGCUCCCCCACACUGGCACUGAGAUACGGGCCAGACUCCUACGGGAGGCAGCAGUAGGGAAUAUUGGUCAAUGGAUGCAAGUCUGAACCAGCCAUGCCGCGUGCAGGAAGAAGGCCUUCUGGGUUGUAAACUGCUUUUGCCGGGGGAUAAAAUUCCUAUGUGUGGGAAAUUGAAGGUACCCGGUGAAUAAGCCACGGCUAACUACGUGCCAGCCGCCGCAGUAACAC
rnacentral:rRNA from 1 species